rnacentral:rRNA from 1 species
CCUACGGGUGGCUGCAGUGGGGAAUAUUGGACAAUGGGCGAAAGCCUGAUCCAGCCAUGCCGCGUGUGUGAAGAAGGCCUUCGGGUUGUAAAGCACUUUCAGUGGGGAAGAAAGCCUUGGGGCUAAUACCCUCGAGGAAGGACAUCACCCACAGAAGAAGCACCGGCUAACUCCGUGCCAGCAGCCGCGGUAAUACGGAGGGUGCGAGCGUUAAUCGGAAUUACUGGGCGUAAAGCGCGCGUAGGCGGUCUGAUAAGCCGGUUGUGAAAGCCCCGGGCUCAACCUGGGAACGGCAUCCGGAACUGUCAGGCUAGAGUGCAGGAGAGGAAGGUAGAAUUCCCGGUGUAGCGGUGAAAUGCGUAGAGAUCGGGAGGAAUACCAGAGGCGAAGGCGGCCUUCUGGACUGACACUGACGCUGAGGUGCGAAAGCGUGGGUAGCAAACAGGAUUAGAUACCCUAGUAGUC